rnacentral:rRNA from 1 species
UACGGAGGGUGCAAGCGUUAUCCGGAUUCACUGGGUUUAAAGGGUGCGUAGGCGGGUAUGUAAGUCAGCGGUGAAAUCCCCGAGCUUAACUUGGGAACUGCCGUUGAUACUAUAUGUCUUGAAUGUCGUGGAGGUUAGCGGAAUAUGUCAUGUAGCGGUGAAAUGCUUAGAUAUGACAUAGAACACCCAUUGCGAAGGCAGCUAACUACGCGAAUAUUGACGCUGAGGCACGAAAGCGUGGGGAUCAAACAGG